rnacentral:rRNA from 1 species
GAUGAACGCUGGCGGCGUGCCUAAUCCAUGCAAGUCGAGCGAACAGACGAGGAGCUUGCUCCUCUGACGUUAGCGGCGGACGGGUGAGUAACACGUGGAUAACCUACCUAUAAGACUGGGAUAACUUCGGGAAACCGGAGCUAAUACCGGAUAAUAUAUUGAACCGCAUGGUUCAAUAGUGAAAGACGGUUUUGCUGUCACUUAUAGAUGGAUCCGCGCCGCAUUAGCUAGUUGGUAAGGUAACGGCUUACCAAGGCAACGAUGCGUAGCCGACCUGAAAGGGUGAUCGGCCACACUGGAACUGAGACACGGUCCAGACUCCUACGGGAGGCAGCAGUAGGGAAUCUUCCGCAAUGGGCGAAAGCCUGACGGAGCAACGCCGCGUGAGUGAUGAAGGUCUUCGGAUCGUAAAACUCUGUUAUUAGGGAAGAACAAAUGUGUAAGUAACUAUGCACGUCUUGACGGUACCUAAGCAGAAAACCACGGCUAACUACGU